rnacentral:rRNA from 3 species
GGAAGAGAUAAGUGCUGAAAGCAUCUAAGCACGAAACUUGCCCCGAGAUGAGUUCUCCCUGAGACUUUAGGUCUCCUGAAGGAACGUUGAAGACGACGACGUUGAUAGGCCGGGUGUGUAAGCGCAGCGAUGCGUUGAGCUAACCGGUACUAAUGAACCGUGAGGCUUAACCUUACAACGCCGAAG